CCAGACUCCUACGGGAGGCAGCAGUGGGGGAUAUUGGACAAUGGGGGGAACCCUGAUCCAGCGACGCCGCGUGAGUGAAGAAGUAUCUCGGUAUGUAAAGCUCUAUCAGCAGGGAAGAAAGAAAUGACGGUACCUGAGUAAGAAGCCCCGGCUAACUACGUGCCAGCAGCCGCGGUAAUACGUAGGGGGCAAGCGUUAUCCGGAAUUACUGGGUGUAAAGGGAGCGUAGACGGUGAAGUAAGUCUGGAGUGAAAGGCGGGGGCCCAACCCCCGGACUGCUCUGGAAACUAUUUGACUGGAGUGCAGGAGAGGUAAGCGGAAUUCCUAGUGUAGCGGUGAAAUGCGUAGAUAUUAGGAGGAACACCAGUGGCGAAGGCGGCCUGCUGGACGACAACUGACGGUGAGGCGCGAAAGCGUGGGGAGCAAACAGGAUUAGAUACCCCCGUAU
rnacentral:rRNA from 1 species